ACAAAAGACCCCUGAACGCACCUGCGAUCUAUGACGUCGUUCCAAAGCCGUAAUUAGUUUCAGGUGUGGCUGCUUAUCACGUCAAGUGACCCCAAAACUCUACAAAUGACAAGAUCACAUGGACCACGAGGACCAUCGACAGAGAUGAGGGAUCCUACACCUUAUCGCACAUCUGGUAUGCGGUCCUCUGCAAGGCGCCAGAAAGCGGGAGGCCUGGAUAAAAACAGCUGACAAGACAUGUCACGGCAACAUCAUGUGACCCUUUUGAGGAAGUAGCAGAAAAAUGUCAAGUAACGCUUGACCUUGUCAUCAUCAUCCUCCGGAUUGGGCGGAAGUGCACCAAAAUGCAACGUUUUCUUUGACUUGUAUUCAUUUUCUUUCUUUCUAAUUACAAAUACAGCAGCUCAAAGGCUUAAUUAAGUAGGUUCAGGUGCAAAUUAAAAUACUCCCCUAAAUCAGUUUCCUGGGUGAAUGAGAGCGCAUGAUAGCUUUUGCAUGAAUAGAGUCUUCUGGGACGACUUUUACUCAGUGAUGUCA